CCCUUAGAUGUUCGGGGCCGCACGCGCGCUACACUGAAGGAAUCAGCGUGCCGUCGUCCUGGCCCGGAAGGGCCGGGCAACCCGUUGAACCUCCUUCGUGCUAGGGAUCGGGGCUUGCAAUUCUUGCCCGUGAACGAGGAAUUCCUAGUAAGCGCAAGUCAACAGCUUGCGUUGAUUACGUCCCUGCCCUUUGUACACACCGCCCGUCGCUACUACUGAUUGGAUGUUUAAGCGAGGUUCUCGAACUGCUAGCGACUUAGCUUCGGUGAGGUCGCAGUGUGGGAAGUGAACCUAGCUUUGGUGUCUAGAGGAAGUAAAAGUCGUAACA
rnacentral:rRNA from 1 species